AGCUCGUGUCGUGAGGAUGUUGGGUUAAGUCCCGCAACGAGCGCAACCCUUAUUCUUAGUUGUUUCCCUUUGGGAUUACCCUCUAAGAAGACUGCCUCGGAUAACGGGGAGGAAGGUGGGGAUGACGUCAAGUCCGCAUGCUCCUUACGUCUAGGGCUACACACGUCCUACAAUGGGGUCGACAAUGGGAUGCAAUAUCGCAAGAUGGAGCCAAUCCCCAAACGGCCUCUCAGUUCGGAUUGUAGUCUGCAACUCGACUACAUGAAGUUGGAAUCGCUAGUAAUGGCAGAUCAGCAUGCUGCCGUGAAUACGUUCCCGGGUCUU
rnacentral:rRNA from 1 species